UACGGAGGGGCGAGCGUUAUUCGGAAUUAUUGGGCGUAAAGGGCGCGUAGGCGGCCUGAUAAGUCAAAGGUGAAAUCCCUCGGCUCAACUGAGGAAUUGCCUUUGAAACUGUCAGGCUUGAGGCCGGGAGGGGUGGCGGAAUUCCCAGUGUAGCGGUGAAAUUCGUAGAUAUUGGGUGGAACACCGGUGGCGAAAGCGGCUCUCUGGCCCGGUUCUGACCGCUGAGGCGCGAAAGCGUGGGGAGCAAACAGG
rnacentral:rRNA from 1 species